rnacentral:rRNA from 1 species
CGGACGGGUGAGUAAUGUCUGGGAAACUGCCUGAUGGAGGGGGAUAACUACUGGAAACGGUAGCUAAUACCGCAUAACGUCGCAAGACCAAAGAGGGGGACCUUCGGGCCUCUUGCCAUCGGAUGUGCCCAGAUGGGAUUAGCUAGUAGGUAGGGUAACGGCUCACCUAGGCGACGAUCCCUAGCUGGUCUGAGAGGAUGACCAGCCACACUGGAACUGAGACACGGUCCAG